rnacentral:rRNA from 1 species
GAUGAACGCUAGCUACAGGCUUAACACAUGCAAGUCGAGGGGCAGCAUGGUCGUUGCUUGCAACGACCGAUGGCGACCGGCGCACGGGUGAGUAACGCGUAUCCAACCUUCCCCAUAGUAGGGCAUAGCCCGGCGAAAGUCGGAUUAAUACCCUAUGUUUUCCAAUGAAGACAUCUGAGCUGGAAUAAAGAUUCAUCGCUAUGGGAUGGGGAUGCGUCCGAUUAGGCAGUCGGCGGGGUAACGGCCCACCGAGCCGACGAUCGGUAGGGGUUCUGAGAGGAAGGUCCCCCACAUUGGAACUGAGACACGGUCCAAACUCC